CUAAUAGUCUGUCAAUUUAGUAUAACUGAUACUACAGCAAGAAUAGGUUUUAUUACCUUAAUAAAAGUUUGUCCACUUAGGCUAACCGAUUCCAUGUUUCAAACCUCCAUUUUCUGAUUGCACUGUCUUGAGUAGACGUUAUUUUUCAACAGAAAAUUAAGCACCUGUGUGUUCCGACAAUAAGAAGCAAUUUGUGUGAAUUCUUAAAAAACAAAACCAAAAACUGAUAAACCUGUGGGAAUGCUCUGAUAAGACAGAUCACAGAGGAUAAAACAGGAUAAAUAACUUUAUCAGUAAUUUUAAAGUAAACUGACGAUCGAAUUGGAUGGCAAAUAACUUUGGCUCAAAGGGUGGAAACAGACCUGAGAUGCUAGGUACAAGCGUCUUCUUAAGGAGGGCUGGCUCUUGCGCUUCCCCGCCCCCACGCUUCCCCGCCCCCACGCUUCCCCGCACGGGAGACUCAAACGGAGCCCGCGGCUCCAGGGCGGCGCUGAUUGGCUGAGGAAGAUUCUCCGACAGACCGGAAGACCUCCACGGAGGGAGACAUCAGGGGCUGCCUGCGGGAUGCGCAGAGGGGACAACCUCGGCCAGGCGGGGUCUGGGACUCUAUCCAUGAGAAAAGAGAAGGGUGUCAAGUUGCUAAAACCAAGAGCCUAAGUUGGAGGAGAAAAACUGCUUAGUUGGUAUACUUCAUUGCUUGACUCCUGGCCUGGAUGACAAACAUGGUACAAUUUGAUCUCUGAUCCUAAGAAUUAAAAAAUGCCUGAAGCUGCUCACAAAAAUCUGACCAGAAAAACAAAUCAAUUCAGCCAGGACAGGGCAAUCCGGGAUACAACCAGGAAAUCAUCAGAGCUGAGGUGCAGUCCUCUUCAGGUCACAACAGAAGGAGGCAGUCAACGGUGGACAGCUACCCUCUCAAUGCAGUGUGCCCUGUCUCUUCUAGUUCCAUGAGUGGGGACACCUGGGUCCUUCAUCAUUUCGACAACCAGGCUUGGCAGGUAAGAGUUGUGAGUUUUGUAGGAGGGUUCAGUUCUUACUUGGGCACAUCUCAUUGGUUUCCUAUCUCUGAAGUCACAGGUAGUAGAUAGAUGCUGGCAAUCUGCUUGUGUUAGAAACCCAGGUAUACAGGUAGAAGACAUGAAGGUUUCCACAUAUAGAAGAUUAAAAAAAAGAAGCAUCGGCAGGGAGAACAGGAAGAGAAGGCAUGUACAGAGCAGAAACAUGUUAUUGCAUUCGAGUUUUAUGUCUACCAAAGCCUCUCCUUUCCCUUCCCCCACUACCCCAAACUAGAGGGAUUUUGUACUACCAUAUAGAUCUUUUGAAAAAUUGAAGUAUUUGAACUUCUUAAAUAAGCAAAUCAUUAUUAUGAAAUAUGCUAUUACAUAUGCUAUAGAUGGUGAGGUCAAUUUAGUUGAGGCUGUGGAAUUAGUACUAAUCAAAGAAAAUGAAAAAAAAAAGUGAUGUUGAGAGAUCAAUGGUAAUACAAGCCCCAUGCUGAGUAUCUUUUCAGUUUAAGAUACCUCGUAAAUCCUUUAUUAACAUUCUAAAUUAAUUCAAAAGAUGUUUCUUGUCUGGCUCAACCCAAACAUCAUUCACUUUCUCCACA
rnacentral:lncRNA from 1 species